CACGUAGUUAGCCGGGGCUUCUUACUCAGGUACCGUCAUUUUCUUCCCUGCUGAUAGAGCUUUACAUCACGAAUGACUUCUUCACUCACGCGGCGUUGCUGCAUCAGGGUUUCCCCCAUUGUGCAAUAUUCCCCACUGCUGCCUCCCGUAGGAGUUUGGGCCGUGCCUCAGUCCCAAUGUGGCCGUUCACCCUCUCAGGCCGGCUACUGAUCGUCGCCUUGGUGGGCUUCUACCCCGCCAACCAGCUAAUCAGACGCGGAUCCAUCUUACACCACCGGAGUUUUUCACACUGAGCCAUGCGGCUCCGUGCGCUUAUGCGGUAUUAGCACCUAUUUCUAAGUGUUAUCCCCCAGUGCAAGGCAGGUUAUCCACGCGUUACUCACCCGUCCGCCACUAAGUUACGAAUCACUAGGUUUCAUCGUAACUCCGUUCGACUUGCAUGUGUUAGGCACGCCGCCAGCGUUCAUCCUGAGCCAGGACUCAAACUCU
rnacentral:rRNA from 1 species